rnacentral:misc_RNA from 1 species
UUUUUUUUUUACUAUGCCAAGAUCUAAUUGCAUUGUUGAUAUCUUCUUGUUAUUUUGCGUUCUCAAUUUCAUUUUUUGCGUUCAUGACUUCGUUAAAUUUGAAGAACUUUGUGCGAGAGCUAGGGUUUCUUUUGCAUCUGAGAUAGAGGUCCGAAAUUUUAGAGUUUCGGAAAAAGGAAAAGAAUUCGUUGGUUGCUGUAAAUUUUUGG